rnacentral:rRNA from 1 species
GAUGAACGCUGGCGGCGUGCUUAACACAUGCAAGUCGAACGAUGAAGCCCAGCUUGCUGGGUGGAUUAGUGGCGAACGGGUGAGUAACGCGUGAGAAACCUGCCUUUCACAACGGGAUAGCCUCGGGAAACUGGGAUUAAUACCGUAUGAUACUUCUACUUAGCAUUAAGAAGAAGUUAAAGCGUAAAGCGGUGAAAGAUGGUCUCGCGUCCCAUUAGUUAGUUGGUGAGGUAACGGCUCACCAAGACUUCGAUGGGUAGCCGGCCUGAGAGGGUGAACGGCCACACUGGAACUGAGACACGGUCCAG